rnacentral:rRNA from 1 species
AGGGCAGACGGUGGAUGCCUUGGCUCUCGGAGGCGACGAAGGACGUGAUAAGCUGCGAAAAGCCCGGGGGAGGCGCAAAUAGCCCUUGAUCCCGGGAUAUCCGAAUGGGGCAACCCGGCAGGCUGAAGGCCUGCCAUCCCGUAAGGGAGGCGAACGUGGGGAACUGAAACAUCUAAGUACCCAUAGGAGGAGAAAAUAAACAAUGAUUCCGUAAGUAGUGGCGAGCGAACACGGAAGAGCCCAAACCCAUGUCGUCUAGGCGACACGGGGGUUGUAGGACCACGACGUGGCAAGAUAGAGUCAAGUGGAACGCCUUGGAAAAGGCGACCGUAGAGGGUGAUAGUCCCGUACACGACUGACGAUUGAAGCCUAGUGGCAUCCUGAGUAGCGCGGGGCACGAGAAAUCUUGCGUGAAACAGCGGGGCCCAUCCCGUAAGGCUAAAUACUCCCGAGAGACCGAUAGCGAACCAGUACCGUGAGGGAAAGGUGAAAAGAACCCCGAGCAGGGGAGUGAAAUAGACCCUGAACCCGUCUGCCUACAAGCGGUCGGAGCAUCGUCAAGAUGUGACGGCGUGCCUUUUGCAUAAUGAACCUACGAGUUACCUUCCCCGGCAAGGUUAAGUACCUAAGGUACGGAGCCGAAGCGAAAGCGAGUCUGAACAGGGCGGCCAGUCGGGGGGGGUAGACGCGAAACCGAGUGAUCUACCCUUGGCCAGGUUGAAGGUUGGGUAACACCAACUGGAGGACCGGAUGGGUAAGCGUUGAAAAGCUUUCCAAUGAGCUGAGGGUAGGGGUGAAAGGCUAAUCAAACUCGGAGAUAGCUCGUACUCCCCGAAAUGCAUUUAGGUGCAGCCUCUUUAUAGUAUAUCGUGAGGUAGAGCGACUGAUUGGAUGCGAGGGCUUCACCGCCUAUCAAGUCCAGAUAAACUCCGAAUGCGCGAUAUAUAUUUACAGGGAGUGAGGGCGCGGGUGCUAAGGUCCGUGUCCGAGAGGAGAAGAAUCCAGACCACCGGCUAAGGCCCCCAAAUGAUCGUUGAGUUGAACUAACGAGGUCGGAUCGCAGAGACAGCUAGGAUGUUGGCUUGGAAGCAGCCAUUCAUUUAAAGAGUGCGUAACAGCUCACUAGUCGAGCGAUCUGGCGUGGAUAAUAAUCGGGCAUAAACGAUCUGCCGAAGCCGUGGAUGUCGUAAGACAUGGUAGGGGAGCAUUCCAUGCGGCGUCGAAGAUGAGGGAUGACCCUUGUUGGAGCGCAUGGAAAAGCAAAUGUAGGUAUGAGUAACGAUAAGGGGGGCGAGAAACCCCCCCGCCGAAAGACCAAGGUUUCCUGAUCAACGCUAAUCGGAUCAGGGUGAGUCGGGACCUAAGGCUAAGCCGAACGGCGACGCCGAUGGAAGAAUGGGUUAAUAUUCCCAUACUGCCUCAUGGAGUGACGUGGAGACGGAGAAGUGACAGUCCUGCCGGCUGACGGAAUAGCCGGUUGAAGGGUGUAGAUAUUGAUUCCCGUAGGCAAAUCCGCGGGGAGAGUCGAACCUGAGAGUAUACGGAGCGCUUGCGCAACGUAAUAUGGACGUAACCAUGCUCCCAAGAAAAUCCGCUAAACUUAUCCAUGCGGCACCCGUACCGUAAACGGACACACGUGGUCGGGUUGAGAAUACUGAGGCGCUCGAGUGAUUCACGGUUAAGGAACUAGGCAAAUUGACCCUGUAACUUCGGGAUAAAGGGUCCCAACGAGAGUUGGGCGCAGAGAAUAGGUCCAGGCAACUGUUUAACAAAAACACAGGGCUGUGCUAAAUUGAAAGAUUACGUAUACAGCCUGACACCUGCCCGGUGCUGGAAGGUUAAGAGGAGAUGUCAUCGCAAGAGAAGCGUUGAAUUGAAGCCCCAGUAAACGGCGGCCGUAACUAUAACGGUCCUAAGGUAGCGAAAUUCCUUGUCGGGUAAGUUCCGACCUGCACGAAUGGUGUAAUGAUCUGGACGCUGUCUCAACCGUGAGCUCAGUGAAAUUGUAGUAUCGGUGAAGAUGCCGAUUACCCGCGAUGGGACGAAAAGACCCCGUGAACCUUUACUAUAGCUUUACAUUGAAUUUGGGCAGACGAUGUGUAGGAUAGGCCGGAGGCUUUGAAGGGGGUACGCCAGUAUCCUUGGAGCCGCCGUUGAAAUACGGCCCUUCGGUUGUUUGAGUUCUAACUCCUAGGCAGGAGGACACUGUAUGGUGGGUAGUUUGACUGGGGUGGUCGCCUCCAAAAGCGUAACGGAGGCUUCUAAAGGUGCCCUCAGACCGAUUGGUAACCGGUCGCAGAGUGUAAUGGCAUAAGGGCGCUUGACUGGGAGAGAUACAACUCGAUCAGGUAGGAAACUAGAGCAUAGUGAUCCGGUGGUUCCGCAUGGAAGGGCCAUCGCUCAAAGGAUAAAA